UCCCAGGUGGCUCAGUGAUAGGGAAUCUGCCUGCCAAGCAGGAGACAUGGGUUCAAUCCCUGGUUUGGGAA
rnacentral:tRNA from 1 species